GCCUCUGAAGUGCAAGUGGCUUUGUUUGACAGACUGAGAUGUGCUCUGAAGAGACUCCUUUAGUAGCUAGGGGAUGUUGAGUGGGAAAGGUAUUCUCUUUCUGGCAACAUGGUAGGUUAGUACCUAAAAUCAUCUCUUAUAUUGAAACAGAUCACUAAGAUGUAUUCAUAAAGCUGGUUUAAAUUUAUUUAUCCUAUGUGCACCACAUGCAUACCUAUUUCCUGAGGAGGCCAGAAGAGGGUAUCAAAUUCCCUAGAACUGGAGUUAUGAAUGGUUGUGAUCUAUUAUGUGGGUUCUGGGAAUUGAAUGUAGGUCCUCUGCAAGGAAAUAAGUAUUCUCAACUGCUGAACCAUCUCUCUGUCCCUCCACAAAGCUAUUUUAAGGUAGAAAGUUAAAAGUUAUCAGUCCCAAGACCUGAGUGUGGGUGAGUACACAGACAGAAUGCUGAGUCUCGCUCUCGCUCAAGACAUGGUCAUCUCACUUUUCUCUGCUGGGUCAAGAAAGUGAAACCUGGGGUUCCUCAUGGAAUGUUUUAGUGGGGGGCUGGCCUCUAAGAUUGGUGCUGAUGAGAUUCAUGACAUCGGCCCUCCGCUGUCCACCCUGAACAGAAUGCUGGCUUCCAGGUUUUCCUGGUUUUCAUGGCUUUCCAAGCAAUGAAAGCAGAAUCUUGCUCUUUAGAACAUUGGCCUGUGGCAGUAUGAUUAGAACCUCCAUCAGAGAAGAGUUUUAAGUAAUUUCUGGCCUGACUUCUCCCCAAAAUUGACAGAAAUAGUUGAAAAGUCCUCUUUCAAGAAAUCACCUUUACCUUUUAUAAUUUUUACAAAGUUCUAAGGAGGGAAAAAGAGUGCCUUGCAUAGAAAGAAAAUCAGAGCACUGGACACAGGGGACAAGGUGCCUUGGGUGAACAUGUAUAGGUACAGAAUGAGCUCAUAACUAGGAUUACAGACAUAUACCACUGUACCCAGUUUUUUAUGUUAGUACUGGGGAUCCAAACAGAUCCCUUAUGUUUGUGCAGCAAGCACUUUACUGACUGAGCCAUCUCCCAACUCUAAAUAAUUAAGCCUGAACAUGAGUGAAACAUAAGCUAUUAGACAAAAAACAGACCUAGAAAUGGAUAGAAUUAAAACCAAAUAUUUGAGGGAUCAGUUUCAGAGAUUAGACAUAGCUGAAGAGGAGAUUAGUGAUUGGGAGAAUAGAACCAAAGACUAAAUCCAAAGCUCAGUUCAUAGAUAUAAGAAAGUGGCAGGAGAAAGUAGGAGGAAAAGAGAUGGCAAAUCUGUCUGCAAGGAAGGAGGCCGAAGACUUCAUAAGGAGGGAAAACUGCAGUCUGUCUUUUGAAAGACCUAAAGGAUUCCCAGAUAAACAGAAAGGCGCCCAUCUGAAAUAAUUUAAUGUUAAAAUAAAUAAAGUGGGCUGGAGCUCAGUGGCUGAUGAUUUGUUCAGCAUGUACAUGGCCUUGAGUUUAAUCCUAGCAUGACAAGAGAGAAACAAAUAACAAUUCUUGAGUAAAAUAAGGUCCCCCUCACCCACCUUUUCAAUUUAUUGCAUAAAUGUGUGAAGUUAAAAAGCAGACUCCAGAUUAUGAUAUAAGCUGUGAUACUUUAAAACUUGUGACACAAGACAGAAAGUAAAUUCUACAACUUGCAAGGAAAUCUUCAUUUAGGCUUCCAUGAGCUACAAGCAUCUAAAGUAUUUGUUUUCAGGAUGAGAGAUGGCUCAGUGGUUAGUUAAGAGCACUGACUGCUCUUCCAGAGGUCCUGAGUUCAGUUCCCAGCAACCACAUAGUGGCUCACAACCAUCUGUAAUGGGAUCUAAUGCCCUCUUCUGGUGUGUCUGAAUAGAGUGAUAAUAUACUCACAUAAAUGAAUAAAUCUUUUUUUUUUUUUAUUUGUUUUUAACCUUCCCAAUGUUGCGUGCAACCCUUUAAUGCAGUUCCUCAUGUUGUGGUAACUCCCCACCAUCACAUUAUUUUCAUUGCUACUUUAUGUAAUUUUGCGACUGUUAUAAAUCAUGAUAUGCAAUCCCUGUGAAAGGGUUGUUUGACACCCCCCCCCCAAAGGAGUUGUGACUAGCAAGUUGAGAACAACUGCUCUAAAGUCUUUGAGCCUUCAGUUGAUAAUCCUUAGCCAUUCCAAUCUCUGCCAAAGAGCUGGCAAAUGCUCUUGUACUGGCUACCCCAUAGUUGAGUUACUUCGCUUGCAUUCUGAUGUUGAACUAUAGUGUUAUUUUAGGCAAAUUCAAUGCAUAUGCAUGUGAGUCUACACACACACUUCUCUAGCAACCAAAAGACCCUAGAUUCAGUCUCCAGUACUACCU
rnacentral:lncRNA from 1 species